rnacentral:rRNA from 1 species
GACAGAGGGUGCAAACGUUGUUCGGAUUUAUUGGGCGUAAAGAGCGUGUAGGCGGCCAGGUAGGUCUGCUGUGAAAACUCGAGGCUUAACCUCGAGCUGUCGGCGGAAACCAUCUGGCUAGAGUCCGGAAGAGGAGAAUGGAAUUCCUGGUGUAGCGGUGAAAUGCGCAGAUAUCAGGAAGAACACCCGUGGCUAAGGCGGUUCUCUAGUACGGUACUGACGCUGAGACGCGAAAGCGUGGGGAGCGAACAGG